UGUAAGCGUAUACCAAAGUUGUUGCAGUUAAAACGCUCGUAGUCGGAAUUUGGCAGUUCCGGAUGUGUGCACGUCGUGUGCGCACUUCGCGGGGAUUGCUUUUGUGGUCUUGCGUAGGAUGAGGCACUUUUAUUAGUGAACGUCCUCACGCAACCACUUUUUACUGUGAGAAAAUCAGAGUGCUCAAAGCAGGCAUUUGCCGUGAAUGUAUUAGCAUGGAAUAAUAGAAUAGGACUUGGUUCUAUUUUGUUGGUUUGUUGGGACUGAGUAAUGAUUAAGAGGGACAGUUGGGGGCAUUUGUAUUUCGGUGCUAGAGGUGAAAUUCUUAGAUUACCGAAAACCAAACUGCUGCGAAAGCGUCUGCCAAGGAUGUUUUCAUUGA
rnacentral:rRNA from 1 species